rnacentral:tRNA from 1 species
AGUUAAAAAGCUAAGAAAUGCCUGAUGUCUUGAAAACAUCACGAGAGAAGUUCAAGUCUUCUAUUAACUU